GAUGAACGCUGGCGGCGUGCCUAAUACAUGCAAGUCGAACGAGAUUUUAUUAAUUGAUUACUUCGGUAUGAUUUUUCUAAAAUCGAGUGGCGGACGGGUGAGUAGCACGUGGGUAACCUGCCCUUAAGUGGGGGAUAACAUUUGGAAACAGAUGCUAAUACCGCAUAAACCUCAGAAACACAUGUUUCUGAGUUGAAAGGCGGCUUUCGAGCUGUCGCUUUUGGAUGGACCCGCGGCGUAUUAGCUAGUUGGUGAGGUAAAGGCUCACCAAGGCAGUGAUACGUAGCCGACCUGAGAGGGUGAUCGGCCACAUUGGGACUGAGACACGGCUCAAACUCCUACGGGAGGCAGCAGUAGGGAAUCUUCCACAAUGGACGAAAGUCUGAUGGAGCAACGCCGCGUGAGUGAAGAAGGUUUUCGGAUCGUAAAACUCUGUUGUUGGAGAAGAACACGUUUGAGAGUAACUGUUCAGACGUUGACGGUAUCCAACCAGAAAGCCACGGCUAACUACGUGCCAGCCGCCGCCGUAAAAC
rnacentral:rRNA from 1 species